AGAGUUUGAUCCUGGCUCAGAACGAACGCUGGCGGCGUGCUUAACACAUGCAAGUCGAACGCGAACGAGUUCUUCGGAACUUUAGUAGAGUGGCGCACGGGUGAGUAACGCGUAAGUAAUCUACCCUCGCAUCUGGGAUAACCCACCGAAAGGUGUGCUAAUACCGGAUACGUCUAUGUUAAUAUCUUUUUUAUAGAGAAAGGUGGCCUCUGAUUCAAGCUACUGUGCGGGGAGGAGCUUGCGUACCAUUAGCUAGUUGGUAGGGUAACGGCCUACCAAGGCGACGAUGGUUAGCGGGUCUGAGAGGAUGAUCCGCCACACUGGAACUGAAACACGGACCAGACUCCUACGGGAGGCAGCAGUGAGGAAUAUUGCGCAAUGGGGGCAACCCUGACGCAGCGACGCCGCGUGGAUGAUGAAGGCCUUCGGGUUGUAAAAUCCUGUCAGAUGGGAAGAAGUGCUAUAUGGUUAAUAUCUGUAUAGUUUGACGGUACCAUCAAAGGAAGCACCGGCUAACUCCGUGCC
rnacentral:rRNA from 1 species